CAGAUUCGCAACCGUGCCCUCAUCCAGGUAAGUGUGGGGGUCAGGCUGGCGCACGGCGGGCGGGCAUACGGGGGGCUGUGGAGCUGACUUCCCUCUGCCCUGCAGUAUUUCAGCCCCUACGUGUCAGCCGACAUGCAUAGGAUGGCAGCAGCCUUCAAUACCACGGUGGCCGCCCUGGAGGAUGAGCUGACGCAGCUGAUCCUGGAGGGGCUGAUCAGUGCCCGGGUGGAUUCACACAGCAAGGUGGCUGCGGGCUGCGGGGCGGUGGGGGCAGCGGGGGUGAGCCUGGGCCCCACUGAGCCUGUGCCUGCACAGAUCCUGUACGCCCGGGACGUGGAUCAGCGCAGCACCACCUUUGAGAAGUCUCUGUUGAUGGGCAAGGAGUUCCAGCGCCGCGCCAAGGCCAUGAUGCUGCGCGCAGCUGUGCUCCGCAACCAGAUCCACGUCAAGGUGGGCUGGCGUCAGGGUGGGCGGGCGCAUGGCGUGUGGGGCCUGGUGGCUGAGCUGCUGCUUGUCUCCCCUGCAGUCCCCCCCAAGAGAAGGGAGCCAGGGGGAGCUGACUCCAGCCAACAGCCAGUCCCGGAUGAGCACCAACAUGUGAGGGGUGGACCUUGGCCUCCAGGACAUCUGCACCCCCUCCCCACCUCCACGGACCUCCUGACCUCCAGGCGGCUCAGUGCUGCCUGCGGCCCAGCUAAGGGGCCUGGGCGCCGGGUGCCACCCAGCCUGUGUGCCCUUGCUGGGGCUGAGGAGGCAGGCGGCUGCUAGUUGUGGCCCUUCCUGGAAGGAGAGGCCUGCAGGGCUCGACCCUGUGGGUUUCUGUCCCCAGGGAGCAGACUGUGUGGCACCCAGGCCCAGCGGCACCAUUUCCCAGACCCCUCCUGUUCCCGCCUCAGUCAGGUGCAGACAAGUGGGCGGUGUCCAUUAAAGAGCAGACUCAGUGUU
rnacentral:sRNA from 1 species